UUGGCCCUACGGGGGGCAGCAGUGAGGAAUAUUGGUCAAUGGCCGAGAGGCUGAACCAGCCAAGUCGCGUGAGGGAUGACGGCCCUACGGGUUGUAAACCUCUUUUGUCGGGGAGCAAGACCCGCCACGAGUGGCGGAGCGAGAGUACCCGAAGAAAAAGCAUCGGCUAACUCCGUGCCAGCAGCCGCGGUAAUACGGAGGAUGCGAGCGUUAUCCGGAUUUAUUGGGUUUAAAGGGUGCGCAGGCGGCCUGCUAAGUCUGGAGUGAAAGAUACCGGCUCAACCGGUACAGGCUCU
rnacentral:rRNA from 1 species